rfam:Triticum aestivum genome assembly, contig: Triticum_aestivum_CS42_TGACv1_scaffold_423363_5BS
CGUGUACUCCCUCCAUCCGUAAAUACUUGUCGAAGAAAUGAAUAAAAAUGCAUAUAUUUAGAACUAAAAUACAUCUAGAUACAUCCAUUUCUCGGACAAGUAUUUCCGAAUGGAGGAAGUACUAA